CCGUAAGGACUGGUGGAGCGCUUAGAAGUGAGAAUGCCGGUAUGAGUAGCGAAAGAUGGGUGAGAAUCCCAUCCACCGAAUGCCUAAGGUUUCCUGAGGAAGGCUCGUCCGCUCAGGGUUAGUCGGGACCUAAGCCGAGGCUGAAAAGCGUAGGCGAUGGACAACAGGUUGAUAUUCCUGUACCACCGUAUUCUGUUUGAGUGAUGGGGGGACGCAGGAGGAUAGGGUAAGCGCACGAUUGGAUGUGCGUCUAAGCAGUUAGAGGGACCAUGAGGC
rnacentral:rRNA from 1 species